UACGAAGGGGGCUAGCGUUGCUCGGAUUGACUGGGCGUAAAGGGCGCGUAGGCGGCUUGUACAGUCAGACGUGAAAUUCCUGGGCUCAACCUGGGGGCUGCGUUUGAUACGUGCGGGCUUGAGUUCGGAAGAGGGUCGUGGAAUUCCCAGUGUAGAGGUGAAAUUCGUAGAUAUUGGGAAGAACACCGGUGGCGAAGGCGGCUCACUGGCUCAUUUCUGACGCUCAGGCGCGACAGCGUGGGGAUCAAACAG
rnacentral:rRNA from 1 species